rnacentral:tRNA from 1 species
GCUGGAAUAGCUUAGUUGGUUAGAGUGUGUGGCUGUUAACCACAAGGUUGGAGGUUCAAGCCCUCCUUCUAGUG